rnacentral:pre_miRNA from 1 species
GAGAUACUCCCUCCGUUCGGAAUUACUUGUCGUAGAAAUGGAUGUAUCUAGAUGUAUUUUAGUUCUAGAUAUAUCCAUUUCUGAGACAAGUAAUUCCGAACGGAGGAAGUAUGUG